rnacentral:rRNA from 1 species
AUUCCAGCUCCAAUAGCGUAUAUUAAAGUUGUUGCGGUAAAAAAGCUCGUAGUUGGAUUUCUGUUGCGAAUGGCCGGUCUUCACUACGUGAAUGUAUCUGGUUCAAUCGUGGCAUCCUCAUAGGAAACGUUGCUGCGCUUCACUGCGUGGUGCGGUGCCUAUGACUUUUACUUUGAGGAAAUUAGAGUGUUCACGGCAGGCAAUCGCCCUGAAUAUGUUAGCAUGGAAUAAUAAUAUAGGAUCUUGGUUAUAUUUUGUUGGUUUCUAGAGCUAAGAUAAUGGUUAAUAGGAACAAUUGGGGGCAUUUGUAUUAACAUGUCAGAGGUGGAAUUCUUGGAUUAUGUUACGACAAACUACUGCGAAAGCAUUUGCCAAGGAUGUUUUCAUCA